rnacentral:lncRNA from 1 species
AUGUCAUCGAAUCUCUUUGAUCCAAAUUAGCCAAAAAUUCCUGAGGAUGUAACGAACAAUAUGUAAAAGGAAUUUUGUUGCUAUCUUUUUUUGUUACGAAGGAGAUGCACACAGAUGAUAAACAGUGAAUAGGGAGAUAACUCUUACAAAGUAAAUGGUUCCCCUUAGCAGGGUGAAAUUUAAAAGCGCAUAAACUAUACGAUACCAUAUUAGAAAUAUCUAAGCGACAUAUUGCGAAACAAA